GACGAACGCUGGCGGCGUGCUUAACACAUGCAAGUCGAACGGAAAGGCCUCUUUCGGGGGGUACUCGAGUGGCGAACGGGUGAGUAACACGUGAGUAACCUGCCCUUGACUUUGGGAUAACUUCAGGAAACUGGGGCUAAUACCGGAUAGGAGCUCCUGCUGCAUGGUGGGGGUUGGAAAGUUUCGGCGGUUGGGGAUGGACUCGCGGCUUAUCAGCUUGUUGGUGGGGUAGUGGCUUACCAAGGCUUUGACGGGUAGCCGGCCUGAGAGGGUGACCGGCCACAGUGGGGAUGAGAGAGGGCCAAGACUCCUGGGGGGGGAGGCGGGGGGGAAUAUUGAAAAAGGGGGGGAGGCCUGAUGCAGAACCGCGGUGGGGGGGAGGACGGCCUGGGGGUUGUAACCCGCUUUCGCCCAGGAAGAGGUUUUGUGUGAGGGGGGUGGGAAAAGAAGCACCGCCAAACUCCGUG
rnacentral:rRNA from 1 species